rnacentral:rRNA from 1 species
AUACAGAGGGUGCAAGCGUUAAUCGGAAUUACUGGGCGUAAAGCGCGCGUAGGCGGUUUAAUCAGUCGGAUGUGAAAGCCCCGGGCUCAACCUGGGAACUGCAUUCGAUACUGUUAAGCUAGAGUAUGGUAGAGGGAAGUGGAAUUCCAGGUGUAGCGGUGAAAUGCGUAGAUAUCUGGAGGAACAUCAGUGGCGAAGGCGACUUCCUGGACCAAUACUGACGCUGAGGUACGAAAGCGUGGGGAGCAAACAGGAUUAGAUACCCUAGUAGUCC